rnacentral:tRNA from 1 species
GGGGAUUUGGCUCAGUGGUAGAGCGCUUGCCUAGCAAGCACAAGGCCCUGGGUUCGGUCCCCAGCUUCG